UACAGAGGGGGCAAGCGUUGUUCGGAAUUACUGGGCGUAAAGGGCGCGUAGGUGGCCUUCUAAGUUGAACGUGAAAUCCCUGGGCUCAACCCAGGAACUGCGUCCAAGACUGGGAGGCUUGAAUCCGGGAGAGGGAUGCGGAAUUCCAGGUGUAGCGGUGAAAUGCGCAGAUAUCAGGAAGAACACCAAUGGCGAAGGCAGCUCUCUGGGACGGUACUGACGCUGAGACGCGAAAGCGUGGGGAGCGAACAGG
rnacentral:rRNA from 1 species